rnacentral:rRNA from 1 species
UACGUAGGCAGCAAGCGUUGUUCGGAGUUACUGGGCGUAAAGGGUGUGUAGGCGGUUCUUUAAGUUUGCUGUGAAAUCUCCCGGCUUAACCGGGAGGGUGCGGUGAAUACUGAGGGACUAGAGUACGGGAGAGGAAAGUGGAAUUCCUGGUGUAGCGGUGAAAUGACGUAGAUAUCUGGAGGAACACCGGUGGCGAAGGCGGCAUUCUGGACCGACAUUGACGCUGAGGAGCGAAAGCCAGGGGAGCAAACGGG